rnacentral:rRNA from 1 species
UACGUAGGGUGCAGGCGUUAAUCGGAUUUACUGGGCGUAAAGCGUGCGCAGGCGGUCUAUUAAGUCAGGUGUGAAAUCCCCGGGCUUAACCUGGGAACUGCGCUUGUAACUGAUAGGCUUGAGUGUGGCAGAGGGGGGUGGAAUUCCAGGUGUAGCAGUGAAAUGCGUAGAUAUCUGGAGGAACACCGAUGGCGAAGGCAGCCCCCUGGGCUAACACUGACGCUCAUGCACGAAAGCGUGGGGAGCAAACAGG